rnacentral:rRNA from 1 species
AGGCGACGACGGGUAGCCGGCCUGAGAGGGCGACCGGCCACACUGGGACUGAGACACGGCCCAGACUCCUACGGGAGGCAGCAGUGGGGAAUAUUGCACAAUGGGCGAAAGCCUGAUGCAGCGACGCCGCGUGAGGGAUGACGGCCUUCGGGUUGUAAACCUCUUUCAGCAGGGAAGAAGCGCAAGUGACGGUACCUGCAGAAGAAGCGCCGGCUAACUACGUGCCAGCAGCCGCGGUAAUACGUAGGGCGCAAGCGUUGUCCGGAAUUAUUGGGCGUAAAGAGCUCGUAGGCGGCUUGUCACGUCGGAUGUGAAAGCCCGGGGCUUAACCCCGGGUCUGCAUUCGAUACGGGCUAGCUAGAGUGUGGUAGGGGAGAUCGGAAUUCCUGGUGUAGCGGUGAAAUGCGCAGAUAUCAGGAGGAACACCGGUGGCGAAGGCGGAUCUCUGGGCCAUUACUGACGCUGAGGAGCGAAAGCGUGGGGAGCGAACAGGAUUAGAUACCCUGGUAGU